rnacentral:misc_RNA from 1 species
UAUGACAUAUAUCUUCUGCCACCUGGUGAAGACCCUGAAGCAUGUCAAUCAUAUCUAAGGAUGAGGAAUAGGGAUGGAAAAUACAAUCUCAUGUUCGAGGAAUGGGUUACGGACAGUCCAUUCAUAAUCUCACCUAGAAUAACUUUUGAAGUUAGCGUGCGCCUUUUGGGAGGGCUAAUGGCUUUGGGGUACACAAUUGCCCUGAAAAGAAGCAGCCACGUCUUCAGUGACAACAGGGUGUGUGUGAAAACUGACUGGUUAGAACAACUUAAUCGCCAGUAUGUUCAGGUGCG